AACUCUACACAGAGACCUCUACAGCACAGGGAUCCAGCCAUGGAGCCUACAAUCACUUCAGCAAUGAUCUACUAUAAGGACCACCUGACUGACCAAAAAGAAAGACAGUGGUGGGGAAGUUAUUCAGAGAUCGUAUCAACAGCAGCAUUGAGCGGCUCAAGUCUCUCCUGGGUCCAGAGAUCCUCAAUCAGCAAAACAACUUCAAGUUGGAGAAAGAAGACAUCCUAGAAAUGAGUUUGCUUCCUGAGAGGACGGCAACACAUCCAGCGAGUGAGCUCCUCCUCAUGCUCAGCACCUGUCAAUCAGGGUUACUCCAGAUGUGUCCAAGAGAUUGUACACUUCUUGUCCAAGGAUGAGGUGAAGACACAUCCCAGAGAAGAUUGCUGAGCCACUUCCAGAUACUUCAGCCAUCCUCUGAUAAGAACAGAAGGGAGAGUGACCUGCCUCAGGCAACAGCAAAGAGAAGAGUCCAGUCAGCAGCGUCCAUUGGAGGCCCUGGUAGAGUCCUACAGACUGGAGCUCCACUCAUAGAGAAAACCUAUGGAUCACGUUGGUCUAAGAAUAAUGGCAUUAUUGUCAUGGACACGAAUGAAAAUAGGAAGAGAUCUUCUUUAUCUUCUGCUCAUGCAGGAGUUUCUAAAAGUCUUGCUCUGAUUGAGACUGUUCAUUUCAGUUUUACUGAAGAAGUUUUUCUAAGAAAAUGAUCCAUACUAUGAAAACUACAUUUUUGUAGUGUGAUGGUUUUAUAUAAUGAAUAACCUUUAUGUUUUCUAAAGUGUGUUGAUUAUGUUGAAUGGUUGUUCAUGAGCAACAUCAACUUUAAAAGUCCUCUAUGACUUUUACACAAACUUUUGGUGAUUGUCUAAUGAUCUGUUUUAAGGUCAAAUCUUAGAGAAUAAGCAAUUGUUUCCACUACAUUUGUGUACUGAUAUAGUUUUAUUUACAUUGUAUUGAGCAUCUUAUAUGAAACAUGUAUUAGUUAUCCAUUUGAUAAUGAUGGACCUAAGCUACAGCAUCACUGUUCCUCCAUGAUGAUUAUUUAGCCAAGCUGGGUAUUAUACCUGUAAUCAUCACUCUGUGAUAAGCAAUACUCUGAUUUAAGAUCAAACUUGUCAAUUUUAUUUCAUGAUGUUUUGUGAUAUGAUAAAACAUGAUAAAACAUUA